rnacentral:snRNA from 1 species
GUGCUCACUUGGGCAGCACAUAUACUAAAAUUGGAAUGAUACUAAGAAGAUAAGCAUGGCCCCUGCGCAAGGAUGACACGCAAAUUUGUGAAGCACUCCAUAUUAAA